CGGGGGGAGCAAGCGUUGUUCGGAUUUACUGGGCGUAAAGGGCGCGUAGGCGGCCACCGCAAGUCGACUGUGAAAUCUCCGGGCUUAACUCGGAAAGGUCAGCCGAUACUGCGGGGCUAGAGUGCAGAAGGGGCAACUGGAAUUCUCGGUGUAGCGGUGAAAUGCGUAGAUAUCGAGAGGAACACCUGCGGCGAAGGCGGGUUGCUGGGCUGACACUGACGCUGAUGUGCGAAAGCUAGGGGAGCGAACGGGAUUAGAUACCCCGGUAGUCCUAGCCUUAAACGAUGAAUGCUUGGUGUCUGGGGUUCUAUAGUCCCCGGGUGCCGUCGCUAACGCUUUAAGCAUUCCGCCUGGGGAGUACGGUCGCAAGACUG
rnacentral:rRNA from 1 species